UUUUUUUUUUUUUUUUUGAAAAAGUUGUAGCCUCCUCCAUGUUUCAUUCUAAGCUUUAGGAAUUAAAUUUUAUCAUUUUGUAAUUUCAUUAUGUAUAUUGUUGUUUUGGAUGCAGUACUGAAAUUUCUGGACUCUUCUGUUUCUGUAUUUAUCACCUUCAAUUCUAUGCAAAUUAUUGUGAUACAGAUGGAAUAGAUACCCAUUUUUCUUCCAGUUUUAGUGCUGAAAAAAAUAUAGGCUCCUGUAUGUUCCACUUGUGCAAAUGGCACAUCAAUUCAUGUUUUGUUCUUUUAGCUUGUUUCUGUAAAAAUUAUGUGAACGAACAAUCUGGUGCAUUUUAUUUUAUUUUUUCAGUGGUCAAGCUGCAGUUAUUAC
rnacentral:misc_RNA from 1 species